UGGGGAAUAUUGCACAAUGGGCGCAAGCCUGAUGCAGCCAUGCCGCGUGUAUGAAGAAGGCCUUCGGGUUGUAAAGUACUUUCAGCGGGGAGGAAGGGAGUAAAGUUAAUACCUUUGCUCAUUGACGUUACCCGCAGAAGAAGCACCGGCUAACUCCGUGCCAGCAGCCGCGGUAAUACGGAGGGUGCAAGCGUUAAUCGGAAUUACUGGGCGUAAAGCGCACGCCGGCGGUUUGUUAAGUCAGAUGUGAAAUCCCCGGGCUCAACCUGGGAACUGCAUCUGAUACUGGCAAGCUUGAGUCUCGUAGAGGGGGGUAGAAUUCCAGGUGUAGCGGUGAAAUGCGUAGAGAUCUGGAGGAAUACCGGUGGCGAAGGCGGCCCCCUGGACGAAGACUGACGCUCAGGUGCGAAAGCGUGGGGAGCAAACAGG
rnacentral:rRNA from 1 species